UAGUGAGUUUGAUCCUGGCUCAGAUUGAACGCUGGCGGCAUGCUUUACACAUGCAAGUCGAACGGUAACAGGCCGCAAGGUGCUGACGAGUGGCGAACGGGUGAGUAAUGCAUCGGAACGUGCCCAGUCGUGGGGAUAACGCAGCGAAAGCUGUGCUAAUACCGCAUACGAUCUAUGGAUGAAAGUGGGGGAUCGCAAGACCUCAUGCUCCUGGAGCGGCCGAUAUCUGAUUAGCUAGUUGGUGAGGUAAAGGCUCACCAAGGCAUCGAUCAGUAGCUGGUCUGAGAGGACGAUCAGCCACACUGGAACUGAGACACGGUCCAGACUCCGUACGGGAGGCAGC
rnacentral:rRNA from 1 species